UACGGGGGGGGCAAGCGUUGUUCGGAAUUACUGGGCGUAAAGGGCUCGUAGGUGGCCAACUAAGUCAGACGUGAAAUCCCCAGGCUUAACCUGGGAACUGCGUCUGAUACUGGAUGGCUUGAAUUCGGGAGAGGGAUGCAGGAUUCCAGGUGUAGCGGUGAAAUGCGUAGAUAUCUGGAGGAAUACCGGUGGCGAAGGCGGCAUCCUGGACCGAGAUUGACACUGAUGAGCGAAAGCUAGGGGAGCAAACGGG
rnacentral:rRNA from 1 species